rnacentral:rRNA from 1 species
UACACACCGCCCGUCACACCACGAAAGCAAGCAACACCCGAAGUCGGUGAGCUAACCCGCAAGGGAGGCAGCCGCCGAAGGUGGGGCUCGUGAUUGGGGUG